GACGAACGCUGGCGGCGUGCCUAAUACAUGCAAGUCGAACGGGGAAAGUAGCAAUAUGAGUACUAGUGGCGCACGGGUGAGUAAUGCGUGGAUAAUCUGCCUUCGAGUUGGGGAUAACUAGUCGAAAGAUUAGCUAAUACCGAAUAAGACCACAGGAUCCGAGGAUCUAGGGGUUAAAGGUUUUUCGCUUGAAGAUGAGUCCGCGUGAGAUUAGCUAGUUGGUGAGGUAAUGGCUAACCAAGGCAACGAUCUCUAACUGGUCUGAGAGGAUGAUCAGUCACACUGGAACUGAGACACGGUCCAGACUCCUACGGGAGGCAGCAGUAGGGAAUAUUGCACAAUGGAGGCAACUCUGAUGCAGCGACGCCGCGUGAGUGAUGAAGGCCUUCGGGUCGUAAAGCUCUGUCGCAGGGGAAUAACACAAUGAAUGUACCCUGUAAGAAAGGAUCGGCUAACUUCGUGCCAGCAGCCGCCGUAACAC
rnacentral:rRNA from 1 species